AUGAAGCUAAACGCAAAUGGCGCAUGGUGGGUGGUCAUUGAAUAUGUCAAACAACACAAGCACAACCUCAUAAAGAAGUUCGACCUUGUAAAAUUUCUGAGCGCCCACAGAGGAUUCAGUCCCCUCGACAAGAAAUUCAUACGGUUGCUACAUCACUGUAACAUCGGUCCAUCAAGAAUGGUCCAAAUACUGUCCAUGAUCCACAACGGAUAUGGUAGUCUGAGUAGCAUGCCCUACAUACCAGCAGACGUCACAAACCUAAAGGCAAAGUACUGUAGAGAGAGCAGGUUAGCUGACAUAAAAGACACAAUCGCCUACUUCAAAGAGAAAGCAAAAGUAGAGCCUGAUUUCUUCUACGGGAUAAGAUUAGACAAUGAAGACUGUGUCCGAAACAUGUAUUGGGUGGAUGGUGCUGUAAGAAGAGCCUAUAAACAUUUCCGUGAUUGCAUUUCGUUCGACACGACAUAUCUCACGAAUAUGUACAAGAUGCCCUGUGCUCCAUUCAUAGGAAUAAAUAACCACAAUACAGAUGGCUACACUUGGUUGUUCACAACCAUCUUGUAGUGCAUGGAUGCACUUACUCCGAUGAACAUAAUAACAGACCAGGAUUUUAGCAUGCGUGCAGGCAUAGAAGAGGUCGUUCCGUUGGCAGUGCACAGGCACUGCAGGUGGCAUAUUAUUAAGAAGACUGAAGAGACGCUAGGAAAGUUCUUUGUUAACACGCAACGUAACGAGGGGUUCAAUGCUGUUUUGAAGCGAGGAGACGGGAUUGUGUGCUGCCACAUACUCAAAAUAAUGGACAUGCACGCGGUCACACGAUUGCCCCGCCAUUUCAUACGACGGCGAUGGGCUUGGGACGCUGACGAUGCGUUGGGGCCACAAACAUCAAAUGUAGUUUUGCCUGUGCAUGAUGACAGACCAAGGCAACCAUGGACUCUGUGA
rnacentral:rRNA from 1 species